rnacentral:rRNA from 1 species
GAUGAACGCUGGCGGCGUGCCUAAUACAUGCAAGUCGAGCGAACGGACGAGAAGCUUGCUUCUCUGAUGUUAGCGGCGGACGGGUGAGUAACACGUGGAUAACCUACCUAUAAGACUGGGAUAACUUCGGGAAACCGGAGCUAAUACCGGAUAAUAUUUUGAACCGCAUGGUUCAAAAGUGAAAGACGGUCUUGCUGUCACUUAUAGAUGGAUCCGCGCUGCAUUAGCUAGUUGGUAAGGUAACGGCUUACCAAGGCAACGAUGCAUAGCCGACCUGAGAGGGUGAUCGGCCACACUGGAACUGAGACACGGUCCAGACUCCUACGGGAGGCAGCAGUAGGGAAUCUUCCGCAAUGGGCGAAAGCCUGAAGGAGCAACGCCGCGUGAGUGAUGAAGGCCUUCGGAUCGUAAAACUCUGUUAUUAGGGAAGAACAUAUGUGUAAGUAACUGUGCACAUCUUGACGGUACCUAAUCAGAAAGCCACGGCUAACUACGUG